AUGCCGGGCCCGCGGUGCCCAGCGGCCGGGGGGGUGAUGCCGGUGCGGCUGCAUCGGGGCCGCGCAGCACACGGCGACCGGGGGGCGGCCCCGGGGGGCAGCGCUGCCGCCGCGCCGCAGCCCCGCAUCCGCUGCCCUCAAGGUCACGGCGCGCCCCGGCUGGAGGUGCGCGCUCCGGUUACCGGCUGCGGCGGGAGGCUCGCAGGGAAGGAGGCUCGGAGGCGGCCCGCAGCCCCCCGCGGCGGAGCGGCCCCGCCGAGCGCCUGCACCUGCCGCCGCCGCGCCUGUGCGCAGCGGAGCGGAGCGGGGCGGGAGGGAAGGAGCGGAGCGGAGCGGGGCGGAGGCGCGGCGCCCCCCGCCGCCACCGCGCUUACCUCGGCGCCGCGGGGCCGCCCCCGCCGGCCGGGACGAGGCGAGGCGCCCGUGAACCUGCUGCUGCCGCUGCUGCUGCUGCCGGCGGUGCUGCCGGUGCCGCCGCCGCCGCCCGCCGAGCGCACAAGGUCCCCGCGCUCCCCGCCCUGCCCGCGGCCGCCCCCGCCCUGCGGCCGCGGGGGGAGGGGAAGGGGGCGGGGGGAGCGCGGAGCGGGGACCGAGCCGCGGCGGGGAGAGGGCGCCGGGGGAGGCGGGGGCGGAGGAAGGGGAAGGGGAAGGAAGGGGAGGGGGGGCGCGCACCGCCCGCCCCGCCCCCGUCGCCUCCUCACCGGCAGGAGCCGCGGGUCGCCUCCCGCCGGCCGCUCUCCUCUGCUCUGCUCCGCUCUCCUCUCUCUCUCUCUCCCCGGCCGCCCGCCUCCUGCCGCACGCCCCGGGCAGCGCCGCGGAGAGCCCCAGCCCCGCACCGCGACCGUUACGGGAGCCGGGCGCCGCCGGGCGGGGCGGGGCGGGGCGGGGCGAUGCGGUACUGUGCGGUGCGGUGCGACCGCCCCCCGGCCGCCCCCCUCCCUCCCCUCCCCUCCCCGCGCUCACCCGCCGCUGCCACCGCCCCCGCCCCGCCCCGCGGCCGCCGGUGCCCGCCGCCGGUCACGUGACGCGCGGGGAGGGGGGGGGGGGGGGCCGCGGCGCGGCGCCUUCAACGGGGGGGGGGAGGAGGAGGAGGAGGAGGCGGGGCGAGGUGCGGUGGCCACGCCCCCGCCGCGCCGCUACUGGCUGGCGGCGGGGUGA
rnacentral:lncRNA from 1 species